CUGCUGCUUUAUCUGCGAGGGCUGCGAUCCCGUGCGUGGCGGGAGGGGGGAAAGGAGAAGAGAGGGAAGAGAAGAAGAAAGACCGAUUUCUGCCCCCGGCACAGGCGCUCGAAUGGCCGGCGGGCGGAGGCGCCCGGAGCCGGGACCGGCGGCUCCUCGGCGCAUCCCCGGUGCCUCCGCAGCCCCUCAGCCGCAAUGGAAAUGUACUGUCUCCUGCUUGAUCUUGGAUUAGAUUCCAUACUGAAAAAAACAUUUCAAGACUGAUGAAGAAUAAAAGUUUACAUGGAUUUAUUUGUCUAUAAUACAAAAAAGAGAGUCCAGCAGGAAGUGACAAUCAACGCAGUGCUUGCUUGAAAGG